GAUGAACGCUAGCUACAGGCUUAACACAUGCAAGUCGAGGGGAAACGACAUCGAAAGCUUGCUUUUGAUGGGCGUCGACCGGCGCACGGGUGAGUAACGCGUAUCCAACCUGCCCAUCACUUGGGGAUAACCUUGCGAAAGUAAGACUAAUACCCAAUGAUAUCUCUAGAAGACAUCUGAAAGAGAUUAAAGAUUUAUCGGUGAUGGAUGGGGAGGCGUCUGAUUAGCUUGUUGGCGGGGUAACGGCCCACCAAGGCAACGAUCAGUAGGGGUUCUGAGAGGAAGGUCCCCGACAUUGGAACUGAGACACGGUCCAAACUCCUACGGGAGGCAGCAGUGAGGAAUAUUGGGCAAUGGGCGAGAGCCUGAACCAGCCAAGUAGCGUGCAGGAAGACGGCCCUAUGGGUUGUAAACUGCUUUUAUAAGGGAAUAAAGUGAGAGUCGUGACUCUUUUUGUAUGUACCUUAUGAAUAAGGACCGGCUAAUUCCGUG
rnacentral:rRNA from 1 species